AUGAGUGUCUUUAAGCUCCCUGCUUCGGUUUGUGACGAGCUGACUCGUAUGAUCCGGCAGUAUUGGUGGGGAGUUGAAAACGGGAAGAAGAAGAUGGCCUGGAUGAGUUUGGACAGAUUGAGGCUACCUAAACCUAUGGGUGGCAUAGGUUUCAAGGAUAUGAGGGCGUUUAAUCAAGUAUUGUUGGCCAAACAAGCUUGGCGCCUAAUUGAUACGCCGGACAGCCUGUGUGCACGACUUAUGAAAGCCAGAUACUACCCUUCGGGACAACUGUUGGAUACGUCAUUCUCAGGCAACGGUUCUUCAGUUUGGAAGGGUAUUUUACAUGGUCUCGAUCUGCUAAAGAGAGGUGUUAUUUGGAGGGUUGGCAAUGGAGCUGAUAUUCGCACGUGGAGAGAUCCUUGGAUCCCUCGGCCGUCGACGUUUCGCCCUAUUACACCCAAGGGUAACUGUCGGCUGAACCGGGUGGCGGAUUUUAUCGAUGAUAACGGUGCUUGGCGUGUUGAUCGCCAACAGGAGUUCUUUUGGCCUAUGGACGUGGAUCACAUACUAAAAAUCAGAACUUCUCCCCGCAACCGCGAUGAUUUUGUCUCCUGGUUCCCGGAGAAGUCUGGAGUUUUCACGGUAAGGAGCGCGUACAAGUUGGCCACAUGGGAUCAUAACGUCGCUUUCACUAAUGGCUCAUCUAGUACAAACCCGGAGGGUGACCGCUCAGUGUGGAACCGUAUUUGGUCGGCCAAUGUGCCUUAG
rnacentral:rRNA from 1 species